rnacentral:rRNA from 1 species
UACAGAGGUCUCAAGCGUUGUUCGGAUUCAUUGGGCGUAAAGGGUGCGUAGGCGGUCUUUUAAGUCAGUGGUGAAAUCCUCCAGCUCAACUGGAGAACUGCCAUUGAUACUGGAAGACUUGAGUAUAGUUGAGGUAGGCGGAAUUGACAGUGUAGCGGUGAAAUGCAUAGAUAUUGUCAAGAACACCGAUUGCGAAGGCAGCUUACUAAACUAUAACUGACGCUGAGGCACGAAAGUGCGGGGAUCAAACAGG